GAACGCUAUGAGCCUCCAUACAGUGCCCAUUCAGCUCACUCUCCGGGACCGCCUCAGGGAGCCUCUUAAACUUCACAGACGUAUUCAUCAGUUGGCUGGGACGGUGACAUGACGCUUGAGUGCUUGCUAACUCUGAUCUGUACCGGCUAGCAGAGGACAAGCAAGGGGACUACCUUUUUCCAAGAGAGAAAUCUAAAUUUGUGGACGGAGUGGAGAUCCCGGUACACAUAAUUGGUGAUGCAGCCUACCCGUUACGACAAUGGCUCAUGAAGGGGUUCACCCAACAUGUCCAGCUGAGCCCCAAUCAAAUUACAUAUACGCACACCCUGAGCUCGGCAAGAAUGGUGGUCGAAAAUGCCUUUGGACAAUUAAAAGGACGUUGGCGCUGUCUUAUGAAGCGCAAUGAUGUAGAGAUUAAUAUCAUCCCUAACAUUGUUGCAGCAUGUUGUAUUCUGCAUAACCUAUGUGAAUUUCAGAGGGAGGAAUUCCUACCAGAGUGGGCAGUGCAGGCCUCCACUGCGUGCCCUGCACUUGAUUGUGAGGUCUAUCUGGGCGACCAUUCUGGAAGUGCAGAACAGAUGAGGUCUGCUAUAAUGGCCAACCUUCCCUCAUUAUUCAGUUAAGUUUUCUCAGUUUGUAUAUUCUGUUAAUUGUUGUUGCUACAAAAAAUAGACCUGUUUAGUUGACAUUCUGCUACUGUGUUGAUAACAAAUGUACAACAUCAAUAUCCAAUUUGAAAUGGAUGUAUCAAGCAUUUUGUUUGUAAGUAAAAAUAGGACAAGUCCAAAGACUAACAAAAGGUCAGAGACCUUAGAAUUUUAAUUUGUAUAAAACUUUGGUAAAUAAAGUAGUGAAAUAUUUACAGUAAUAAAAAUCAAACCAGUAAAAGUGUAGGAAAAACACUCCUAUGAUUUUAAAACCAACUUUUUUUUAAAAACAAUAACCAUUUAAGAUAAAUUACGGUAAACAGGAGACUCUGUAGUUGUCUCCGUUUCAGAAGGUGAUUGGGUGUGUUGAGGUUGUGUAUGUCGAGGAUGGGUAUAGUGAGUUGGAGUUAGUGGAGGUGGGUAGAACACUACUUUUCCCUCAGAACACCUAAGUUCCUUCAGGCAUGGAUUCAUCAAGGUGCUGGAAAUAUACUGUAGAGACCCUGGUUCAUGAUGACAUGAUAGUAUCAUGCAGUUACUGCACAUUAAUAUGCUGUGCAUUCAUUCUUUGAAUCCCCUAUUCUGCCACAUUCCAAAGGGACUCUUUUGGGUUGAGAUUGAUUGCUAAGGCCAAUGGAAAACACCAAACUUAUUGAUGGGUUUUAUAUUAUCGGUUCCAAUUUCUUAUAACUGGUAGGAUUUCAGUGAAAUUGUCACUAUAUAAGUGUGCUUUGUUACAAGGAACUGUUUCUGGAUUUAAGGCAAAUCCUUCACAAAUAAGUCUGUAUGUAUGUAUGUAUGUAUGUGUUAAAGGGUAUAUCUAUUGGCUGUGGUUGUUUGUACUCCCCUCCUCCCUCUGGGGGGCUCUGAUAGUCACACAAAAUAACCUUUAUACCAGUAAUAAUUGUUAUAAUUAAUUAUUGGGAUAUGAUACAAUACUUCUCUCCAUUCCAUAUUCUUACAUGUGAUACUACUUCAUCUGUGACCUUCUGACUAGUAUUCACUAGCCAUUCCAUGCAGUCUAAUUAUAUAUAUUUGUCUUAUACCACAACAUCCCACAAACAGAAGGUCCCAGCUGAUACGCAUUAUGUGUCUCAACUAGAGUCCCAUGUGAGCUACACAUGCAAAUUCUCCACUAUUGCCUGGGCCAAAACCACCCAAAUAUUACUCCUUGACAAAAUCCGUCAAGAAACCUCGUUAUAUCGCUAUAUUGCAUUAUACAUAUGACUUAAACAUUCAAAUCAUUAUUACCCUCAGUUGUAAUGAACCAAAGACCGUAUAAAGUAUAAAAUAGUUUACUCCAUAAACAGUAACUGCAAUGUUAUAGAUUACUUACAUGUGGAUAGUUACAAAUAAUGCAAUAUAGAUAACCAGGUCAGAUACACAAUACAGUUUAAAAACUCAGAAGUGAAUUCCUAACUUGAUCCCAGUAAUGUAUUACCCCAUUAUGUUGCUAAAUAAACUUCAAUGCAGAUUCUAGGUAUUCCUUGCUAGUAUAUGAUCUUGGUGUACGUGCAGAUAUAUGUGUGUGUGUGAAUGUAUGAAUGCAAGAAAGAUGUGCUAGUGUUAUCAGAUUGUGCUCUUCCCUGUGUACAUGUGUUUAACGAUGCGUGUAGAUGGCUGUUCCAGAAAGCAUGGUGAGAAACGUGUGUGUGUGCAGAGCCGGCUCUAGGCAUGUUCGAAUAGAGCGGCCGCGCAGGGCGCCACCCUUAAUGGGCGCCGCGCGCUGGCGCCGCCAUAUUCGAAGCUGGAGCCGGCCCUGUGUGUGUGUGCAGCGCAGCGUUGUCCCCGCCGUCCGUGUGUGCGGCAUGCGCUGCGUGGCGCCGGUGUCUAACGUCAGACGCCGGCACCGCGCAUAGCGCACACAAGUGGCCGCCCGCCCACCCGUACUCGGAUCCUCACUCUCCCACCCGCCAGCACUCCCGCCAGCACUCCUCCUCCUCCUCUCAGACUCAGCGCCUCAGGUAUUUGGUGGUGGGGGGGGUCAAACAUUUAUGGAUCGCACUGUG